rnacentral:rRNA from 1 species
CGUGUGGUUCUAUUUUGUUGGUUAUGGGACCGCCGUAAUGAUUAAUAGGGACAGUCGGGGGCAUCAGUAUUCAAUUGUCAGAGGUGAAAUUCUUGGAUUUAUUGAAGACUAACUACUGCGAAAGCAUUUGCCAAGGAUGUUUUCAUUAAUCAGGAACGAAAGUUAGGGGAUCGAAGACGAUCAGAUACCGUCGUAGUCUUAACCAUAAACUAUGCCGACUAGGGAUCGGGCGAUGUUACUUUUUGACUCGCUCGGCACCUUACGAGAAAUCAAAGUUUGUGGGUUCCUGGGGGAGUAUGGUGGCAACGCUGAAACUUAAAGAAAUUGACGGAAGGGCACCACCAGGGGUGGAGCCUGCGGCUUAAUUUGACUCAACACGGGGAAACUCACCAGGUCCAGACACAAUGAGGAUUGACAGAUUGAGAGCUCUUUCUUGAUUUUGUGGGUGGUGGUGCAUGGCCGUUCUUAGUUGGUGGAGUGAUUUGUCUGCUUAAUUGCGAUAACGAACGAGACCUUAACCUGCUAAAUAGCCCGUGUUGCUUCUGCAGCACGCCGGCUUCUUAGAGGGACUGUCGGCUCAAGCCGAUGGAAGUUUGAGGCAAUAACAGGUCUGUGAUGCCCUUAGAUGUUCUGGGCCGCACGCGCGCGACACUGACAGGGCCAGCGAGUUCUCCCUUGUCCGAAAGGACCGGGUAAUCUUGUUAAACCCUGUCGUGC